AACGAACGCUGGCGGCAGGCUUAACACAUGCAAGUCGAGCGCCCCGCAAGGGGAGCGGCAGACGGGUGAGUAACGCGUGGGAAUCUACCCAUCUCUACGGAAUAACGCAUGGAAACGUGUGCUAAUACCGUAUACGUCCUUCGGGAGAAAGAUUUAUCGGAGAUGGAUGAGCCCGCGUUGGAUUAGCUAGUUGGUGGGGUAAAGGCCUACCAAGGCGACGAUCCAUAGCUGGUCUGAGAGGAUGAUCAGUCACACUGGGACUGAGACACGGCCCAGACUCCUACGGGAGGCAGCAGUGGGGAAUAUUGGACAAUGGGCGCAAGCCUGAUCCAGCCAUGCCUCGUGAGUGAUGAAGGCCCUAGGGUUGUAAAGCUCUUUCACCGGUGAAGAUAAUGACGGUAACCGGAGAAGAAGCCCCGGCUAACUUCGUGCCAGCCGCCGCGGUAACAC
rnacentral:rRNA from 1 species